GGUUUGAGGAAAAUUGAAAUUUGAGAAAAUAUUAGGGAAAUUUAUCUUAUGGAUGUGGAAGCACUGACUAAACAAAAUGGCGUCCGGUUGUUAGGAAAAUUAAAAAAAAGUUAAAACCGACCUACCCAACACCGCGGAAAAACGUCUGCGCAUGCGUCAACCUUACCUGUAAUAGUAUUGCGAACUUGAUGAGAAGCUGUUCCGAACGUUUCCGAAGGCUCAAAAUGGCGGUAAAAAGGAGUGACUUCAUUGUACGUCUUUACAGCCAGAUUUCAAGCGCAAAAAUAAACAUGUCAUUCUAAAAACUAGAAAUAAAUACAGCCAGAAGGUUCAAGAAAUUGUAUUGUACAAGAAC